AGGGCAAAGGGCUGACCAGCAACUUGGGAGGAUGGACGGCUAAAGCGUAAAAUGUGAUGUACCCGAUAGUAUUAGUAAUUAAUAUAGAAACUAGCAGAGUUAGUUAAAAUUCGAUGUAAACAUUUGAUUAUGACAAUAUUUGCUUAUUUCUUGACCAAGUCACGUGCCAGCAGUCGCGGCAACACGUGGUAGAUUAGUGUUAUAAUCUUUAAUAGGUUUAAAGGGUACCUAGACGGUUAAUUAGACAUUAAAGUGUACUUUUAUUAACUAGAGUUUAAUGUAAGAAGGAUUGAGUACGGUGAGUGAAGGUAUAAAAUUCUGUUU
rnacentral:rRNA from 1 species